UCUGCAGGAUUUACGCGCACGUUGGAACCGAAGAGAGCUCUGUUGUUGCAGUAAGUUCUUACGGCCAUUUCUUAAUCUCUGCUCUUUCGUUGAGUGUGUGGAAGUUGCUACGGGGAUGAUUUUACGAACUGAACUCUCUCUUUCUGAUGGAUUAGUGGAGAAAACAGAAAAUUCUGAGUAGCACUGUACUGUACGCAACAAAUGUCAGGGCCCUAUUGAUUUGUCUGAGGUGUUAGUGAAGGGUGUUAUUUUUUCAGAUGUUCAGCCCACAAGAGCUUACUGGUGAAGGAAUGGGACAAGACCCAUCUUUAUGCAAAGCCAGCGUUACAGUAAUGUUCCAGGAGCAGCUUGUUGCUAUAUACCAUUGAAAAGCCUUCAGAGCUGAGAGGUACUACUAACCAAUAACCUGCUUGGCUCAAAGGGCCAGCACCUUCUCUCUAAAGCCCAAGAGGAGUUUGAGGAAAACUAGGUGUCUGUGUUCACUCCAGGCUGAAGUUACAGGUCUGAGCAAAUAAGGUGUAUAAAAAAUGGAAUCUGUCUUGGAGGACAUCAGAAGGUGAAUUUUCCAAGUUCUUGGACAACCUAGCUGUUGAAAAGCUUUCUGGGUUUGGGGGGUAUUUCAGAUGUACCUUAAAGUGUUAGCAGACACAGAUUAAGACACUGGGAGCCAAUGAAACAGCAGUUGAGGGUUUGCUGUGUAUCACAUUUCUGUAUUUUAUCACCCCCUUCCUGCAACAUUAUUUAUCUGGAAUCUACCUGCCCUUUUGUUUUUUAGAUACAAGGGCUUGGUUUUGUUACCCAGGCUGGUUUCAAGGCCAUAGCUUUAAGAGAUCCUCUCACCACAGAUUUCCAAAGUGCUGGGAUUGCAGGUGUGAUUCAUGGCACCCAGACUUUGCUGCCUUUCUUACAUGAUCCAGGCCCAGAACCCAAACUCAGGCACUGUAUAGAUGACCACUUUCGUAAACUACUGACCUAGCUUGUUGCCAAUUGUUGAUUGAACUUCCCAUAACUCCACUUCGUGUCUGUUCCUCUGUAUACAGCCACCUUCUGUUCCCGUCAUGAGCCUUUAGGUCUCCAUUUGCAUAUUGCAAAUACUAUGUUCCAUGUAGGUAGCUCAUUCAGGGCCUUGCUCUUCACUUCAAAAAAGGUUCCCUUGAGGACUGGCUGUCAAUUUGUGUUGCUGUGUUGGUUG
rnacentral:lncRNA from 1 species